AGGAAUGUAGCUGAGUGUUAAAAGUGCUUGCCUAACAUGCUAGAGACUCUGGAUUCCAUUUCUA
rnacentral:tRNA from 1 species